GCUGUUGGGAAAACUACAGAGCAAACUUCUUUACUCUGCCUACAGCAAGCUCUGCAGGAUGGAUUUCAGUGUUCAGCGUCCCUGGACAUCUGCCUCUAAAACAAAUCUGCACCACAACAGAGGUGGCAUCAGUCAACACAAAGGGCUCAGAAAGGUUGGGGUGAAACUCUCCACUCCUGCUUUCAUACCAUUUGAAGUUCAGACCAGUGAGAUUUCCAUCAGUUGGGAGUUGAAGAUGCCACAAGGACAAGAACUGAGGAUGGUUUGCUCAGAGCUGAUUUUUA
rnacentral:lncRNA from 1 species